GGAAGGUUGGCAGAGCGGUUGAAUGCGGCGGUCUUGAAAACCGUUAGGCUCGCAAGGGUCUCGGGGGUUCGAAUCCUCCACCUUCCGCCA
rnacentral:tRNA from 1 species